rnacentral:tRNA from 1 species
CUAGAUUAGCAGGCUUUUAUCCUACGAUUUUUUAGUUAACAGCUAAAUACCUAAAUCAAGAUUUAAUCUA